UUAAGUUAGAAAGGGCGCACGGUGAAUGCCUUGGCACUAGGAGCCGAUGAAGGACGGGACUAACACCGAUAUGCUUCGGGGAGCUGUAAGUGAGCUUUGAUCCGGAGAUUUCCGAAUGGGGAAACCCACUGUUCGUAAUGGAACAGUAUCUUUAUCUGAAUACAUAGGAUAUUGAAGGCAGACCCGGGGAACUGAAACAUCUAAGUACCCGGAGGAAGAGAAAGCAAAUGCGAUUUCCUGAGUAGCGGCGAGCGAAACGGAAUUAGCCCAAACCAAGAGGCUUGCCUCUUGGGGUUGUAGGACACUCUAUACGGAGUUACAAAGGAACGAAGUAAAUGAAGCGACCUGGAAAGGUCCGUCGAAGAAGGUAACAACCCUGUAGUUGAAACUUCGUUCCCUCUUGAGUGGAUCCUGAGUACGGCGGAACACGUGAAAUUCCGUCGGAAGCUGGGAGGACCAUCUCCCAAGGCUAAAUACUACCUAGUGACCGAUAGUGAACCAGUACCGUGAGGGAAAGGUGAAAAGCACCCCGGAAGGGGAGUGAAAGAGAUCCUGAAACCGUGUGCCUACAAGUAGUCAGAGCCCGUUAAUGGGUGAUGGCGUGCCUUUUGUAGAAUGAACCGGCGAGUUACGAUCCCAUGCAAGGUUAAGCUGAUAAGGCGGAGCCGUAGCGAAAGCGAGUCUGAAUAGGGCGUUUAGUAUGUGGUUGUAGACCCGAAACCAGGUGAUCUACCCAUGUCCAGGGUGAAGUUCAGGUAACACUGAAUGGAGGCCCGAACCCACGCACGUUGAAAAGUGCGGGGAUGAGGUGUGGGUAGCGGAGAAAUUCCAAUCGAACCUGGAGAUAGCUGGUUCUCUCCGAAAUAGCUUUAGGGCUAGCCUCAUGUUGUGAGAGUCUUGGAGGUAGAGCACUGAUUGGACUAGGGGCCCCCAACGGGUUACCGAAUUCAGUCAAACUCCGAAUGCCAAAGACUUAUCCAUGGGAGUCAGACUGCGAGUGAUAAGAUCCGUAGUCAAAAGGGAAACAGCCCAGACCACCAGCUAAGGUCCCCAAGUAUACGUUAAGUGGAAAAGGAUGUGGAGUUGCUUAGACAACCAGGAUGUUGGCUUAGAAGCAGCCACCAUUUAAAGAGUGCGUAAUAGCUCACUGGUCGAGUGACUCUGCGCCGAAAAUGUACCGGGGCUAAACGUAUCACCGAAGCUGUGGAUUGACAUCUUUGAUGUCAGUGGUAGGAGAGCGUUCUAAGUGCUGUGAAGUCAGACCGUAAGGACUGGUGGAGCGCUUAGAAGUGAGAAUGCCGGUAUGAGUAGCGAAAGACAAGUGAGAAUCUUGUCCACCGAAUGCCUAAGGUUUCCUGAGGAAGGCUCGUCCGCUCAGGGUUAGUCGGGACCUAAGCCGAGGCUGAAAAGCGUAGGCGAUGGCCAACAGGUUGAUAUUCCUGUACCACCUCCCCGCCGUUUGAGUAAUGGGGGGACGCAGUAGGAUAGGGUAAGCGCGCUGCUGGAUAUGCGCGUUCAAGCAGUUAGGCUGAUGAGUAGGCAAAUCCGCUCAUCAUAAAGGCUGAGCUGUGAUGACGAGGGAAUUAUAGUACCGAAGUUCCUGAUUCCACACUGCCAAGAAAAGCCUCUAGCGAGGCGGGAGGUGCCCGUACCGCAAACCGACACAGGUAGGCGAGGAGAGAAUCCUAAGGUGAUCGAGAGAACUCUCGUUAAGGAACUCGGCAAAAUGACCCCGUAACUUCGGGAGAAGGGGUGCUCUGGUAGGGUGUAUAGCCCGAGAGAGCCGCAGUGAAUAGGCCCAGGCGACUGUUUAGCAAAAACACAGGUCUCUGCGAAGCCGCAAGGCGAAGUAUAGGGGCUGACGCCUGCCCGGUGCUGGAAGGUUAAGAGGAGGGGUUAUCCUUUGGGAGAAGCUCUGAAUCGAAGCCCCAGUAAACGGCGGCCGUAACUAUAACGGUCCUAAGGUAGCGAAAUUCCUUGUCGGGUAAGUUCCGACCCGCACGAAAGGCGUAACGAUCUGGGCACUGUCUCAACGAGAGACUCGGUGAAAUUAUAGUACCUGUGAAGAUGCAGGUUACCCGCGACAGGACGGAAAGACCCCGUGGAGCUUUACUGUAGCCUGAUAUUGAAUUUUGGUACAGCUUGUACAGGAUAGGUAGGAGCCUGAGAAGCCGGAGCGCUAGCUUCGGUGGAGGCGUCGGUGGGAUACUACCCUGGCUGUAUUGAAAUUCUAACCCGCGGCCCUGAUCGGGCCGGGAGACAGUGUCAGGUGGGCAGUUUGACUGGGGCGGUCGCCUCCUAAAAUGUAACGGAGGCGCCCAAAGGUUCCCUCAGAAUGGUUGGAAAUCAUUCGUAGAGUGUAAAGGCACAAGGGAGCUUGACUGCGAGACCUACAAGUCGAGCAGGGACGAAAGUCGGGCUUAGUGAUCCGGUGGUUCCGCAUGGAAGGGCCAUCGCUCAACGGAUAAAAGCUACCCCGGGGAUAACAGGCUUAUCUCCCCCAAGAGUCCACAUCGACGGGGAGGUUUGGCACCUCGAUGUCGGCUCAUCGCAUCCUGGGGCUGUAGUCGGUCCCAAGGGUUGGGCUGUUCGCCCAUUAAAGCGGUACGCGAGCUGGGUUCAGAACGUCGUGAGACAGUUCGGUCCCUAUCCGUCGUGGGCGUAGGAAAUUUGAGAGGAGCUGUCCUUAGUACGAGAGGACCGGGAUGGACACACCGCUGGUGUACCAGUUGUCUUGCCAAAGGCAUCGCUGGGUAGCUAUGUGUGGACGGGAUAAGUGCUGAAAGCAUCUAAGCAUGAAGCCCCCCUCAAGAUGAGAUUUCCCAUAGCGCAAGCUAGUAAGAUCCCUGAAAGAUGAUCAGGUUGAUAGGUCAGAGGUGGAAGCGUGGCGACAUGUGUAGCUGACUGAUACUAAUCGAUCGAGGACUUAACC
rnacentral:rRNA from 1 species